UACAGAGGGUGCGAGCGUUGUUCGGAAUUAUUGGGCGUAAAGCGCUUGUAGGCGGCUUGUUAAGUUCCGUGUGAAAUCCCCAGGCUUAACCUGGGAAGUGCGCGGAAAACUGGCGAGCUUGAGUGCCGGGAGAGGGUCGCGGAAUUCCCGGUGUAGAGGUGAAAUUCGUAGAUAUCGGGGAGGAACACCAGUGGCGAAGGCGGCGACCUGGACGGACGACGUGACGCUGAGGCGCGAAAGCGUGGGGAGCAAACAGGG
rnacentral:rRNA from 1 species